rnacentral:lncRNA from 1 species
CAAUGAUCCACACAUUGCUAGUGCUUGAAGAAAUGUCUCCCUUUAAGACACUUCACAGAUAGACAGAAUGCACUACAGCAGCUUAAAGAAAGACAAUGACUCUCAAAAUAACUGGAGACAUGUGAGCUGCACUUGGAUUCUAACGCUUAAAACAGGUAAGAGAUCUGACUAGCUUGGAAAAACUGGGGACCUUCAUGUUAAAAUUCACAAGUUACCCCCUUGUGUAAAUUAAGAAACUAAAUAAUCCUUGGGCUUUAUUUUUAAAUCAUUGCACUUAAAUUAUUCUACAGGCUGGAGAGAGUGGGGUGUCACAUGAGUGUCUGGCAAGGUACAGGUAAUUUAAGUAAGGAUACUAAUUAGAUGUACAAACAAUUGGAAUUGUAAGCAAAUCACUGUAUAAAGCAGGGCAGACAUGAUCAAACUCUAUGAGACAAAGCUCACAGUUUGAUGCGAACUGCACUCUCCUACAACCGAGCUAGAAUUGAGAAAACAAUACAGACAAAUAGAAAAGUAAUAGUAGUGCAUGUAUUAUACAGAGCAUAUUUAGAUUACAUAUUAUAUACACGUUACUUAAUUAUCUUUACAGAUCAGAUCAUGGCCCUCCUUUUUAAAAUCUAGUAAAUAUGUUAGAACAGGCAUAGGCAACCUUCGGCACUCCAGAUGUUUUAAACUACAGCUCCCAUGAUGCUUUGUCAGCAUUGUAGAUGUAAAAGCAUUAUGGGGGAUGUAGUCCACAACAUCAGGAGUGCCGAAGGUUGUCUAUCCCUGUGUUAAAAUCUUUAAACCAGGUGGAUAUGGUAUCCACAUGUUGGGCCAAACUGUUCUUUUAAGGUUGGGUUCUUUUAACAUUGGAUGUAUGAAUAUUAAAUAUCAAUAAACAUACCCCUGUGCUAGUUAUGAAGUAUACUUCUAGGUAAUGAAUUGUACCUUUGUAUCAAUAUUUUGGAGAUACUUUCCCUGUCUGCAGAAUACAAGUAAAACUGGUCAAACAAUGUACUAUUAAAGUCUUGCAUCAAAAUAGCUUUACAAAACACUGCAGGUGCUUUGGCAGUGCAAGGGUUAAUAAAUGCUAAUAUUCAUAGUUAGGAUUUGCUCUGCUUUACAGUCCUCUGCUAGUCCAGCAUCCCUCACGUAGCCUCUGGAACAGUCCCUUUCAUAGAUCCAGCUACCUGGAUUUGAAUAGAAACCAGACAGCAAUUCUUCAGACCCCGCCAGUCCUCCAUCCUCUGGACAAUAGAGAUUUGUUAGCACGCAGCCACAAUCUAUAGGACACAAAGCUUAAAGCACCACAGACACAGGAGGGAGUGGGGGUUUUUCGACAGGAAAUUACAGCUCUUUAAUGCCCCAACUGCAGGUCUGCUACAGAAGGACAGCUCUAUCUGUGCCAUGUUAGGGAGGUAAUUAACCCAUGGAGGAUCGGAACUAUAUUUUUGAAAUGCCUUUGUGUUCUUAUAGGUAGUAAUCAUAGACAUUUAUCCAAAAUGCUAUUAAUGUAUAAAAUAUUAUUAGUAUUAAGGAUUUUUAAACAUAUUUCCAAAAACCUAUUUAAACACAAAUGAGAGUGCACAGUGUGACUUGCAAAAGCAUUCAUUUCCCAACUCAAUAGUAUUAUAAUAUUAAGUUACAUUAAAAGGUGUUUUCGUGUGUGUACACAGCAAGAAGGACAAUUUACAACCCAUUGUAAAAAUAUUGAGAUUAGUUUCCAAAAAAUCAUUAUAAACGUACAUGUUAUUUAUUUCAUAAACCCGUAAGAAUGUACAGUAAAUCAUGACUAUGGGAAAAUUUACACUUUUCAACAUCUAGGCCAGAACAGCCAGGUUGGUAUUAAAAACAAAGACAUCUAUGUUUUGGAAAUACGUUCCUAAAAUGUGUAUUUUUAUAGUGGUUAAGUCAGUAAAAAUGAAUAAGAUCCUGGUUAGAGUAUGUAGUACAACACACAUACAUAUAAAUCUUUUUCAUUUGUACUUUAUUUCCUUACUGUAGUUUAGGAUUAUCAUGUAUUAGACUAGACUACGACAUCAACAUAUAUUUAUUAGAUACCGAGAAUUCAUUGUGUUUGAGAAAGAAUUCAAAAUCUAAGUGUCAGCACAAACCACUUGACGCAUAAGUGCUUACGUUCUAUUAAAUGCUUAGUGUGAACACAUUUAAUUUACAUAAAUGAUUUAUAUAAUUUUAUGAAUUGCUUUAUCACUGUAUUUUGCAAUAAUGAAAUAUAUGUUUACAUUUCAGAUAUAUGUAAUAUAUGAAAAUAUUACACUUUUUAUAUAUUUAAUAAUUUUCAGGUUAUUUUCCAGUUUUUAUAAUAUAGACAAUCUGGUCAAAAGUAAAAACAACAACAACUAAAAAACAUAUUUACCAGGGCUUAACAUGUCAUGCUCUAAGCCACUACCUAGGCCUUAAGAGUUCCUCACCACUGCAAACCCCAAGAGCUCAUGGCACACUCACCAGGUGUAAAUUUCUACUCAACACUACAUUUUCACUUGCCAAUGGCUAGUGUAACUUUAUGAGCCCUAUAUAUAUAAUCCACAUUCACACUUAUAUUAACAUACAUUCUAACAUUCUAAAUAGGCAAGUACCCAUAGUACCGAAAUGUGUAACCUUUGUGCCCAGCGUUUUUGACUAUAUCAGGUGCAUCUCUAUGUGUACAACAAUACUUUAGAUUCUUAAUUUGAACAUAUUUGAAAUAUUUAGCAAAAGUAAUAUUUCAAUAUCAUAUGAAUAAGAAAAAAAAAGAGAGAGCAAGAAGAGCAGUUCAUUUAAGUCAAUUUCCUGAUUUGACGAAGGGCAGUGUAAUAAUAAUAAUGUAUUAUGUAACAAACCCAUCAUGUAUAAUCCAUACAUCAUGCAAACCUCCUCUGGAUACUCCAGGAUACUUUACAAGGAGGAUUAAAUUAUGUGGUUUCUAAAUCUCUCCAUCUAUACAGACAGUAUAGCAUCUGUUAUAUUUGGAUUUGUGAUCUAUGCAAGACAUGCCUAUGACUAGAGGUUAGAACAGUGAUUGUUAUACUAGGCAAUAUGUUCAUGUUUGGGCUCUGCUGAGAAAUAUGUAAGCCAUACAUAACAAUCUGCUAUUGGAAGAGAGGAGAGUAAACAGACCACUUCCCUAUUUAAAAAAAAAAACACUCUACCUGACCAGUACAAUAAAAAAAAAAAAGAGAUUCACAGAAUGUUCUCCAAUUCUGCAAUGUAAUUAUACAUAAUAUCACAACAGCUCAGCUGCAAAGGGACAUCUGAGAUUUUGUUGUUGGAGACAAAUUGCCAUAUCCAUGCCAUAUCUUUUCAUAAAAGGAGUGAUUUGGCAUGUAGAUAUGCAGGAGCUUAGUUUUGCAGUUUAAAUCACAGAUAUUACAUUAUAUGUUCCUGAGACAUCUAAUGUCUGACUGAGGCCAUUUGACCAUGUGAACAUGGGUGAACUAACAAAGGGUCAGAAGUAAUUUGAAACAAUAUUCACCUAAUAUUUCUCUAGCCACCAUAAUAACAACAACAAAGUAUUUAACCAGGAAAGGUAAAUUCAGAUUGCUCUGGUUUUCAAGUACGUCCUGGGGAUGUUACUUUUACCCCACAUCCAGGAGAUGUUACUAUUUAAUGCUACUCAUUUUAUCUACUUUGGAAGGAUUUGAACCUGAGACCAAGGGUUGAACAGAUUCAGGUGUUGGGUCUCAGCUAUCUCAACUGGCAUUGUUAGGGCAUUAAGGGGAAGUCAACAAUGUAGGACAGUUUAAGGCUGGUCAAGGACAGGUGGUUUGAAAUUGUCACCUACUUAAAACAUUAUAAUCCUAGCAUGGGUGAACAACCAUUUGUGUUCAGCUUACCAAAGUUGUAUGUGCUACAAUAAUUAGGUGUGCAUGCUGCAGGAGUACAUUUUGGGUGUGUACACAAAAAGCAAGAGUUUUAUUUUAAAACUUAGUAAUACCUAUUCAUUAUUAGAGAUAGAAAUAAAGAAUGCUCGCCAUCUCCAUGAUCCUAUUGUUCAGCGCAGUGGAAUUUGUUUUUACAAAUUUAGUUAUCAGUGUUUCCAGUAAUCACAAUGGAACAGAACCGAGAGAUGGAGGGAGGCAGGCAGCUGAGUUGAGUAACUAUGAGAAACAAAAUGGAAGUCAUGCAAAUGCAUCUGUGAGAAGAUAGCUAUUGGCUCUUUGUACAAAUAGCAUAGUAUACAGCAACCUGCAAACAUAUUGUGCACGCGAUAACACAUGGUUCAGCUACACUUUGCAGACAGGUAGCUGCAUGAUAUUACAAUAGCUAUAUUCAUAUUUUUCAAGUGAUGAACUCACUUUUUGAAACCCAAAAGAAUGUACUGUACACAAAGUUAAAAACGGAAACUUAAAAAAAGAGUCUUGAUUUAACAGUACAGUACUUAAAAACAUAUCUAAAUAGGCAUAAAAGAAAUUGGGGGAAACCAUGUACACAAUUCCCUCAAUAUUUCUGUAUGUACCUUACCUAGAGCCAAAAUUUCAAAGGACACCUACAGCUUUUUACUCUGAGAUUGACUGCCCAUGUCAGCCCCAUUUAGCGGUUUGAAAAGAUACCCAGAUUUAAUGUGGAUCUUUGUACAUAUAGCUCUAUAUCCGCAGUUCUCUGCUGAUUAUGGACUGGGGAAGGCUGAAAGCCGCAUCUAUAUUUCAUGAGUAUGUGGUGAGCUACCAUAAUAGAGUUGGUCCUUUUAAUGCAGGGAAUGUAACUAUAAUGUACACAGAAUGUUUGCAUAAUUUAAAACGGCAGAGCAGAAUACAUUUUUAAUAAGUAUCUUGCAAUAAUCUGAAGGCUACUUGUAUUUGUUUAAUAGUCACUAUUUAGACCUUUUUAGAAGUACCUUGUAGCUUACACUGGAACAAGGAUAAGUAAAUUGUGAAAAGCUACAAAUAUUAUAUACACGCUAGUUUAUCAGUUAUGAGUGACGACAUAGGUGCAAAAGGUAGGUGAAAAUUGUUAUUUUUUUUACUUCUACUUUAGCUUAAACACUUGCCAACUCAUAUCUAUUUUUUGAAAACCAAGAAUCUUAACACUUCAGUGAAUAAAGCACGACGACUUGUUCUGUUGCAGAAAGAUUACUUGUUUAGCCAUAUGUUUGCCCAAUUCCCAGUUUGGGAGACACUUAGAUUUUUUUAUUUUUAAAUACGUUGUCAUUGCAGACGACUGGAGUACUUUAAUUUAAAGUCUUUUACGGGUGCUUUUGCAGUGCUCUUCAAUUUUAAAUAUUAUUGGUAAUUUAUCUAUUGCAUCGAUCAAUAAGUUGCUGCAAUACCUUACACCAUAUAUUAUGCUCAGUUCCUACAGUGGUUCAUUAAACAUAAAUGUACUAUAUGAACUGUAUUGUAGUAAUAAAACCAAGUAUCAACUUUAAGCAAAGUUCUACAUUCUUAAAAAGAAGAUACAUGCAUCAUUGCAGAAGGCAGUAAUAUUGAACAGGGGAAAAGAUGAUGAGCCCAGAAUAUCUGUCAAGUCUGCCUUUUUUAUCCUUUUUAAAAUGAAUCUAAAGAAUGAAUGGUGAACAGCUGAAUUCUCCCGAAUCACAAGCCGCAGACUGUAAUGAUUACUUGGCAAACCAGAUGUUUGCAAACUAUAUUUCCAAUGACCCUUUGGUUGGUUAAUCUGACAAAGUAUCAUAGUACUGAAGCUGAAUAACCAUGAGAUGCCAAGGUUAUCCAACAAUGGUAUAUUAAGGCAUUAGGCAAAUACAGAAAUGGUAUUUGCGCCUGGGACAGUUUUCAUUACCACAUCACAAUUGUUUAUAAAUGGAAUUAAUUAGUCAUUGUAAAAUAUUAGCAUAAGAUGUUAACAAAUAUUGUUAUGAAUUGUUAUAAAUAUUUAGCAUGUUUAUACAAUGCAUUCAACCUUCAAUUUCUAUGUGGUUUUUGCAAGUUAUAAUGUUGAAAAUGCCAAUACAUUCUCACUGGUUUAUUAAAUAAAUACAGAAAACCGGUGAAAAGAAAAUGACAUAAUUUAGGCAAAACUACCCAAUAAAAACAAAUUUACGCUAUAGUCACAACUUGGCUAAUUUUGUCUAAAUUCUGCAGUUGGCUAUUCAAAUUAACGCGUUUAUGUUUAGUGAAUAAACCCGCUUACAAUUUCUUGCUUUCAAAAACUUUUAGAAAGUAUUCACUAAAUUGUUUUUUUUAAGGAGGGUUGAGAUGGAAAUUGCAAAUUCUAGACCAAAUUAGCCAAACUAGAUAAACAAAUUAAUUGGGGACCAUCUGAUUUGAAAUGUCCAAGUAAUUGUCAAUUCUGCACAUUGUAGAGAAAUCAUUUGACAUAAGAUGUCCAUAGGAAAGCCUGGAGUAUGAAAUAAUAAACUGGAUUAUAAAGCUGUACCAUAGUUCAAGCUACAAAGAGAUUUUUCAAACCAUUGGUUAUGAUUUGAAACAAUAUUGAUGGUUAUAUUAGUAUUUUAUUAUUUAUAAAGCGCCAGCAAAUUCCAUAGCGCUGUACAAUGGGAGGGAAUUUGAUCAUGUUAAGCAAAAGCUGUUGGCACUAAACUAUUAUUUUAAUAUAAUAAUGUUUUUAUCAACUUUUCAAAGAAAAUAUAUAUUUUUUUACAUAUAUUUAAUUUAGAAAAAAUAAUAAAGAGAUAAAUCACCCCUAGCUUUAGAUCAUGACAGAAUCAAUGUACAUAUCCAUAUAUAUAUAUAUAUAUAAUAAAACUAACCAAAAAGCUUGCACUCCUAGUGUAUAUACUGAUGCCCUGUGCUAUUAGCCACACAAAAAAAUACAAAAUAGAAAAAUUGGCUGCACUCAUGGUUACUUGUCCUGAUGAAAGUUCCAAUGCUGGAACAGAAUCGUAUGUACCAUUAAAAGUUAAGUAUUAUCUAAUCUAUCUGUUUUAACCAAGUCUUUGAGUGCAGCCAAUUUUUGUUUAUAUAUAUACACACAACCUUUAAUUUUAAAUUCACCUUGAAUUCUCACUUCAGUGAAACAGUUAGUCUCUGUGGUCAUCCACACAAGCAGGGAAGAACAUAGAGACUGUCAGUGAGUUUUCAUACAAUGUCCGACCAGAAGUAUAUGCAUUUGACUGAAGGAUCCUGGCAUAUACUCUAGGUAGGUUUUCCUCUUAAAAAAAUAAACAAAAACAAAAACCAUAUACUUUAUUUAAAAAAAUAAAUCAAUUUCAUUUUAAAAGUUGAUGAAAGGAUUAUUAUAUUUAAGAUAGUUUUGAGGUAACAGUUGUCCUUUAAGGUAAACAAUUUUUUAAACUAUGCAUUUUGUAGCCCCUCUCUGGCAGAUCAUGAGGAAAAAUAGUAGGUUAACGUGCUUUUUAAAUAUGGAUCUUAAUUUAAAAAAAAAAAAAAAGCAUACAAGCAUGUCCACAUCAAUAAAACUUAUAAUUCAUAUUCUCUGUUCAUAAAUGGUGGCUAAUCUUUGCCUUCAUAAGUAUGUUUUAAGAAAAACAAGGGGGUUCUGUCCAACUGCUCAUCUGUCAGUAGCCUUGGGGUAAUGCAGACUAGGUUCAUCAGAGCAGAAAUGUCAGCGAAAUGCGUCACAGCCCAACUGGAUGCUGAUUAACAUUUGCAAAGCUGUACUACAGUCCAUAUCCUUCCAUAUAAGUUAAUCAUUCUACUGUUCCAGCACUAGUCUACCAUGUAGAGCAUAGCAUCAAGCACUUAAACAAAUUACAAAGUAGGCGCAAAAUGUCCCUUAAAAAGGACCACAUUGUUGGCAAUUAUCAAAGAACAUUUAUAAAUAAAGUUAUAAAUUCAAUCUCUCCAAAGGGGUAAGUAAGGUGCAUGUGUGCAUCCACAAUGAAAACUAGGUAUUUGCAAAGGUAGAUUUUGGUAAAACAUCCCUUGCCCACAUUAAUUAAAAACUCAAUGGCGAUGCCUACGUAUAAGUAAUUAAGAGGUUGAUAAAAGUUCAUGUAUUUGACUCAUAUACUUCAAAGCGCCCUUUAUAAAGAUAUUUCUUACGUAGAGUUUAUUUUUAGUAACUCUAAAUUAGUGUUCCUGUCCUGUAGAUGUUGAGUUAUUUAUUUAGAUAUUUGGUUGAGCGGCUGUUCUGGUACACUUGCAAAAUUUCAAACUUUAGCAUGGUUAGUCUGUAAAAUACAGAUUUCUAUGUAUGAAUAUAAACUCAUGUAUCUCAAAUAUGAUCUCCUAAAUAAGAGUUAUUAGAGACUAUGUGUCUUCUCAAAAUAGUCAAUACAUCUUAUAAUAGCAUGCUGUAAACUGACGAAUAAGCAUAAGGGUUAAAACAGGUAAAAACAUGGAGCUGUGCAAUUACUGUAUAUGCAAAGUAAAAAGACAAAUGACAGGGGAAUUACUACAUUUUCUCAAAUAUAAAAGGCGUCUAGGAAGUUUAAAGUAACACUCCAAGCACCAUAUCCAUUACAGUGCACUGCAGUGGUUCUUGUGCCCUUAAAAGUGUAGUCAAACCAUUUGCUAACAGUCUGACUUUUUACCUGGGGUCUACCAGGUGCUGCUCUAUGCCUCUAUUCUCUUCUCCAUAGGAGAAUAGGAAGCUCUGAUUUUUUUCUCUCCUGAGUUGCCUGAGAGACCCUCCACUACCCAAAUACAAAAUAAACAAAAAUCACUGUUUAGUAGAUAUACCCCAAAUGAAAAUUAUGCAUGUUUUCAUUGUUGUAAAUCUAAUAACAGCAUUCAAAACCUGCAUUGUCUUGUCUGUUGCCUUUGCAAACCCUCCCCUACUAACCCCACCCAGGCUUUCUGAGGACACACUCUUUACACAAAGCUUUUUUAGCAAGCUAAAGUGCUUUAGGGGUCUGGAGUGUCCCUUUAAGCCCUGCAAUGCAGAGCCAACACAAUGUCUGACAGAGUUGGGAUUAGUUUGGACAGAGUUUCCACAUCUCAUAGUUUCUAUAUAUCCUAUAGGAAAGCAUUGGAUUGGCUGAGAUCAUCAAGACUGAUGAUAUUAGCCGGGUUGAGGGGGGCUAGUCAUGGUGAGACCAGCGGGGCCAUGUAGAAAAAAAAGAAGUUUAAAACCUUUUAACUCCACUCUGAGGGGUGCCGGUGACCUAAUCGCCAGUCCAACACUACAGGGUUAGGAAUACAUGUUUGUAUUCCUAACAACAUCGUGUUCCUUUAACUAUUAAGCCACAAUAGAUAAUCUGCAAAAUGUGCUGCAAGAAUUGUUUUUCACUUUUGUCACUAAAAACUGUGAAAUGCCAGUUUUAGCAAGUAACCCAGUGAAAAACAUUCUGUAUCACAAAAGAGAAACAAUAGGCAUUUAGAAUAAUGUCUACUAUUGCAACUUUUCAUUCCUGGGCUACAAUACGGUCUCAAAGGCAACAAAACCAAUCUGGCAAUUUUCAAUGUGAAAAAACUGAAACGCAAGCCUUAUAUUUGACUAACUUUUGAAAAAAACCAUAAAACCUGUACAUAAAGGGUACUGUUAUACUCAGGAGACUUCGCUGAACACAAAUAUUACUGUUUCAAAACAGUAAAAUGUAUCACAACAAUAUCGUCCAUGUAAGUGCCAUUUGUGUGUGAAAAAUGCAAAAAAUUUCACUUUCACUGACAAUAUCAUCUAAUAUUUGUGUUCAGCGAAGUAUUCCGAGUAAAACAGUAUCCCCCAUGUACAGGUUUUAUGGUGUCUUGGAAAGUUAAAUAUAACGCUAGCAAAUUAAAUUCCCUGGACUUUCGGCCUGGGUUGGCAGGCAGGUCCCGCAAAUUGUAAUUAAUAAAAUGACCUAAUUAUGUAAAGUUAUUACAUAAAUAUAUACAUGUGUGUGUGUGUGUGUGUGUAUAUAUAUAUUAUAUAUAUAUAUACAUUUUAAAUGAAGACUGUGGAGUGCAGUCAUCACUUUGGAUUUUCUAUGUGAAUCAACCAGCUGACUUAGGCACCCGGCAAUACCACAGAUAGCAUGAGAGCAAAGAAUUUUUUUAUUUUUUUUUUAUAAUUAUAUUUAACGUAUUUACAUAUAUAUUUAAUAUUAUAAAUAUAUAUAUAUUAAGCAAUAUCAGUCUACGUGUACUUUGAUAUUAAUAUAUAAUUAUAUAUAUAUUAAAAUACACUUAGACUAUGUAUGUGUAUAUAUGUGUAUGUAUGUAUGUAUAUGUGUGUUUUUAUAAUUGUAUUUCACACUGCUUUAACGUUUAUUUUUAUUUUUUUACAGGCAGCGUGGAGAGUACCUGUCAUUACAGGCACUCCCCCUGCUGGCACUGACAUGGAUGGCUAUGCCAUCCAUGUGAUUGCGAGGUCCUUGCAAGGACCUCGUGAUCACAUGGCCCAGGAGGGCCAGAAUGGAAGCAGGGGGACUCCCUGGGAUGCCAGGUGAGUCCCCACACCGUGAUUGACGCCGUUUAGAGCCAGGUUCCUAAGGAUAGCAUAGCACGCCCGCCGUCCUUAAGGGGUUAACAGUCAGUAUGUGAGGAUGUCAUACCAGUACAAAAGCGUACACUGUCGCAAGUUGGAAUCAAUAAUAGAAACUUAUAAGUUACUAAAACACACUUCUAUUUAAUAAUAAUUAUUAAAGAAACACUUAUAGUCACCCAAACAACUUUAGCUUAAUGAAGCAGUUUUUGUGUAUAGGUCAUGCCUCUGAAGCUCAAUUAUUUGCAUAAAAACUGCAUAAAAACAAAAUUGUUUCAUUUUCAAUCAGAUGUAACUGAUUUUAAAUUUGUUUUUAUCUCCUACUCUAUAAAUUAACCUUUAAUUACAUACAGGGGGCUCCUGCAGGGUCUUGCAAGCUAUUAACAGAGCAGGAGAUAAUAAAAUCUAGAUUAAACAGAAUUUGCAAUAAAGAAAGUGUAAACAUUAGAUGACUCUUUACAGGAAGUGUUCAGGAAGGCUGUGUAAGUCACAUGCAGGGAGGUGUGCCUAAGGAUGCAUAAACAAAGUGAUUGAACUGAUAAAUGGCAAAGAAUAAAGCAGUGAGACUGCAGGGGCAUGAGCUAUACACCAACGCUGCUUCAUUAAGCUAAAGUUAGUUUGGGUACUAUAGUGACCAUUAAAAAAAAAAAAAAAAAAAAGACUUUUCACAAUGUGAGGUGCAGAAAAGGCAUGUAUAUGAAGAACAUGUAAUCCUAUACAUAUAAAAAUGUGCAACUUUAUUUGCCAUUCGAUAUAUAGUGAGCUGACAACCAAUAUGUUAAAUUGAGGCCAAAAAAGCAGAUUUUAAAAAAAGAUAUAUAUUUUUUAAAUCAUAAUUUUAUUAUUGAUUCACCCAUCACUAUGCAGAUCUAUUGUGCAAUAAAACUCUUGUUUUAUCAGUUUUUCCCAUUAGAAAUAGGUUAUAUCUUUUUUUCUAUCUAAACGCAUACCAGAUCUUUUCUCCAUCAGAGAACUGAUGGUGAUUUAUAUUUUAGCCCCUCUGGCAGUAAAUAGUUUAAAGAUAUAAUUACUAGGCAGCAUUCUUUUAAAAUAGCUUCUUUUCUCAGUUUUGAUCAUGGUUGACUGGAAACUGCUGCCUCAUUCUUCCCUAAUUAGUGAUGAGCCACUAAAGCCACUAAUGAGAAUUUAUGUAGCCUGUAUUCUUCAGCCACAGAUGAGUGCCAACAGAGAAACCUAUUUAAUGGACAGAUUGCCACUGAUAUAUUUUGCAAUCUUCCCAAGAAAACGAUCAACUUAUGCUUUGCUUUUUUUGUGCCACACAUGCACAAAUUGCACAAAUUGUUUUGCCAUGCGAAAAAAAUGACAAAAUUGACUUUAAUUAGAAGAUAAUUAGUUGUGGUGAAUUGGCAAACGAAUUGCAAAAUGAGGGCAAAAUUGGUCAAAUUAGGCUAGUUAGAAUAACUAGUAUUGUGGGAGAUGAAUGCUUUGCUGUUUUGGCCUAAAUUCUGCUUUUAAAUGCAAUCUGACUAGAUUCAGAGUUUAAGGCAGGGAUAGACCACCUUUGACACUCCAGAACUAAACCUCCCAUAAUGUUUUGCCAACAUUAUGACUGUAAGAGCACACUGGGAGAUGUAGUCCCCAAAAUCUAAAGUGCCAAAUGUUGCCUACCCCUGGUUUAGUAAAUAACCCCUAAUUUGUGUGGGUGGGGCCUGACUGCUACGCUGAGGCAGUCAUGUUUCUUUAGUUUCUUUAGCUUCAAACUCAGAUGUAAAUAUACUAUUUUCAAGCUCAUGAAUACCCUACUUUAGGCCUUUGCCAGGACCUUUGGCUCAUGGAACCGCUGUGGUACUUCCAUGCCUGUUGCCAUUCAUAUACUCACCUAUUUUCCGUGCCUCAGCAUCUGCACUUAGCUGUCCAUAUCAAUGGAGGAGGCAGCUAAUCCUUUGGUUGAACUGGAGUGACUGGCGACGUAAUUGAGUUAUCAUACUGCCUUCCUCCCUCUCCCCACAUGGACCAGUGGAGGAUAUCUUCGUUCCUGGUUUGUGUAGGCUGCCACAAAUCUCAAUAACCCCAUUGAAGGACUGAUCUGCCCAUCGGUCACGCACCUGAUUUCUGCAAGAGGGUCAAGCAGGCACUUGGAGCAAUACCAAAUAUGCAUCAAGAAGACAUCCUGUCUGGAUUCAACCAACUCAGUGAGAGGUUCUGGACAACAUCCUACACGUGAGAUACUCAGAACUUACCCCAAUCAAACUAGGUAUCAGCAGCAAUAAAGGAGUCCACUGGAACCCACGCCAAGCAAAUCUGCUCUACCCUCCAUCACCUCUAAGAAGUCCAGAACUCCUGGGCUGACAGCCAGUAGGAGAAUGUCUCCAUCAUAUCACUAAAAAAAGGUCUCAGAGGUGACGUCUAAGCAAAAAACCACAGCAUGUCACAUAUAACCAAGUCAGUGGUGCACUGGUGAAGUCUCCAUAUCUGGCCUUGGGGCUGGUGUGAUGAUAGUGCACCAGUAUGCAAGUAUGCAGUAUUACCGCCUUAACUCCAUCAGAAACCUCUGUGCAACCUAUACAACUUUACCCUGAUGAUAGCAACCUAUUGCGACAUUCUACAGUUAACACGCAGGACAUCCUUUUGUUUUUAGUUAUUUUAAUUUUCACCUGUGAUAUACAGGGCCCAAUACCUCUUUUUAGUUAAUAUAACCGGGUCUGGGUGUCCUUCACUUAAACACCUACUAUUAUGUUUACUUUAAAGGAGGCCAGCUAUACUCUUGUUCGUUAUUACAUGCACAAUAUCAUCUUGCUAUACUCAUUAGUUAUUUGGUGUUAGCUCAACCAUGCUCGGAAAUAUGUCACUGCUCAUGCUAUAUACCGCAAUGCUUCUACAUAUUUAUGAUUGGCAAUGUCACUACUACAUAAACAGUGUAUGUUAUAAAUGUGCCUCAAUAAAAAUUGAUUGACAAAAACAAAUAACCCCUAAUUUGUCACUCCUAUAUUACAAAAUAUGCCUCCAUACAACUACAGUUGAACUACAUAUAUAGCAUACUCAAACUGUGUGUAUUAUACAAGCAUGCUCACUAUUUAGCAGUGAUGUCAAAUUACCAACCAAACCCAUGCCCACUAUUUAGCAGUGAUGUCAAAUUACCAACUAAUCAAGUCACAGAAUUAAUUUACAUAUUUUUAUUCUUUUCUCCCAUAGACACUGGCCAAAACAUUGUUUCUAAGAACCAUUGUGAGAACACAUCACAAUAGGAAAGCUACUUUGAAGAAGGUAGCCAUUAAUCCUCCAAAAUACCUAAGGAACUGAUGGAAAUGAGAGUAACAGGAAAAAUUAUACAACAAUGUACCCUUCUAAAAGGCGAGUAUUUAUGCGACAUUCAUAGUGCAAAUCACAUGACCUCAGAAAUGUCUUGGACCUAGCAUGCUUCCAUUUCCAUGUUUAGUAAAUGUUCUGCUUAUUUGGGAGCUUAAUCACUUAGAAAAUCACUUAAAAUGACAUUGGUGUCAGAACAUGCAAGCAUGUUUGAAGCACUCUAAGUGACACUUAAAUUGUGAAUCAUGAAAUGUUGCACUUACAGAGAUAUCUGCUUGUGCCAGGGGCUAGUUACACAACUUGCACACAUGAUUUAGGCAGCCCGGAACUCUCCUAAUGUGAAUUCCCUGGUAAUUCGCUAAUUUGAAUGAUGUUCUCUAUUGCAGGCAGGCCUAGGAGAAUGCCUUCAAAGGGAAUCCUUGAUCUCCCUCUGUUGCACUCUAUCCAUGCAUUGCCACUUAAAGGGACACUCGAGGAACCAAAACAACUUCAUCUAAAUUAAGCUGUUAUGGUGCUAGGAGGCCCCUGAAGACACUCAUACCUCAAGGGGUUAAGCCAUUCUCAAAGCUGGAUGCCAUCUGGAGGGGAGUGGGCAUCGCCGCUGGAUGCAACUUUGCGGUUAAACUAUUCAAGAACGGUUUCACUCCUUGAGGUAAGAGUGCCUCCAGGGGCCUGCUGGCACCAUAACAACUUCAAUGGAAGCAGGCAAGAAGAGAAGUGCAGCUUUUGCAAACUCUUUAGAUUUACUCUCAAUAAAAAAUACAUAAUAAAUGCAUACAUGUUUUCAUUGGGGAUAUAUCUACUAAGCAGUUAUUUUAUUUAUUUAUUUGUAUUUGGGAUAUGGGGUUCCUCUUUAAUGGACAGAAGUGGAACCAGAAAUAGUCCACUUUUCUAGUGGGUUCUGAGGGAGCCUGGUGCUGGAGCAAGGUAAGUGGCUGAAGGGGUUUUAACCCCUUCAGCCCAGCAGGAGUGGGACCCUGAGGGUUUGGGGGGCCUAAAGACCCUAUAGUGCCAGGAAAACUAGUUUGUUUUCCUGGCACUAUAGUGGUCCUUUAAUAAUUAGAAACAAAAGUACUGUUCACUAGAUGGCAUUUUUGUUUCUUCUGCCAUUCUCUGCAAUGUGCAAUAAUCCUAGAUUCCUGGAAUGCUGGAAGCACCAUAUGAUUAUAGAUCACUCAUCUUCUAUAUUCUGCUUGAUAGAACUGCAACAGUAAUCCAGUCCCCAAUGCACACUUACAGUCCAAGACUCCGAUAUUUCUCAUUUCUGUGCCAGGACGACACUGACAACACAUGAACCACUAGUGUGUCACAAGGACUGGGCUGGAAACCAUUAAUAUAGAACAAAGACAUCUUUCAACCAUGUCUGUGCAUGUUUUACGUACUGCAUUUCAGCUAUUUGGCCAUUUGUGUUAACCCCUAACCCGCAGUUAUGGCAUCCUAUGCCGUCCUACAUAAAGUGGGCGUUAAAGCCUGUGAGACACAUUUUGGCAUGUGCAAGGUUAAAUCCCUGCUCACACCAGGGAACAUCAAAUAUCAAUGGAUACAUGGGGCUCCCCUCUGUCAGCUGGGGCCAUUUUUAGUGCUCACACACUUUACAUAAGCUGUUUUCCACGCUGCAAACAGCUAUUUGAAAAUGCAUUUAAAUAACUAUUAAAAAAUUGUGGUGUAAGCAGUGUUAAAUCCCAAUCAAUGGAUACCUGGGGCUCCCCUUAAAGUGCUGAGGCACAAUUUUAAUGGCCCCAGACUUUUUAAUGAGCUACUUGCAUUUAAUAUGCCUACUCAGUGAACGCGGUGUGAGCAGGGUUAAAUCCCUCAUCAUCAAUGGAUACCUGGAUAUUUUUAGUGGCCCCAGAGUGACCCUCUGUAUAAAGCUGGAAGCAAAGGGGUCAGGGUGCAGGAAUGUUUCACCACAACAGGUCCUUAAAUUAAAGGAACUGGCAUAGCAACUCGGCAAUGCUGAAAAGUUUAUGAUUUGCAAACUUGCAGCAACAAUGCUUUUAGGGUACGGUAGGCCAAAAGUAGCUGGACUUGAAGCACAGAUCACAGACAACUUUUUCUAAUUUGGUUAUUUUGGCCUUAAAUAUGAAAUUCACUUUGAAUUCCCAACAAUUUACUCUUUAGUAACUAACUUUGCAGGUGUGCAUAGCUCAUUUGUUUUUCUUCAUAAAGAGAAUGUUUGCAAUAACGUAAUUGGCUAGAAUUUGUAAUUUGUUACAAAAUGUAAAAAAGCAAACAAACAAUAUCUUUAAUUUGCAUUUAAAGUUAACCAGAUACAGUUUAAUCAUCCCCAAGAAUGAGAGCACGAAGCCAGGUCACAUGGUGUUUGUGCUAAGAAAGUCUAGCACUAUGAUAACCUUUGACCAGAACAAUCAGUGCCUCACCCUAGAAUGUAUUUUAUAGAAACAUGCUUUACCAGGUGGGAUUAAUAAGUAGCAAUAAUUGAUAGCAUCAUCCUCCCCUCCCCCGUCACAGUAACCUUGCAAACAGUUGAGAAAGAACAGAGGACAGGUAGACAUAAAACUACCUGUGUAGUGUAGAGAUGUUGAGAGAAUACCAGGAUUGUUUGCAUACAUUAAUGAGCAGACAGACUGUCUCUAGGUUCGACAAAUAUAUCUGCUCUUUGUAUUCCAUGUCCACCUGUAUGUACAUUUUGGUGACUGCUAAGUGAACCCCUUACUAACUGACCUUGUUAUGCAUCUGAUCUUGCAUCAUUUUAAAUAUAUGAUCAUGCUGUCAUUUUUAUUCUGCAAUAUUUUUUAAAUGUAAUAAUAAUUAUUAAUAUACCUGUGGUGUAGUAUCCUAGCCGUCAAAUUUAAUAUACCAGUACACGUCUAUAACAUAUUUAAGAGUUCAGAACUAUUUUCCCUGCUUCAAUCAUAGCUAUAAUACAUGAAGUGAGAAAUAGAGAGAGAGAAAAAAAACAAACCUACAAUUUCCAUUCCUCUAUAAGUUAUCACGAAACAUCAUCCAUUUGUAGGGAAAGUAAACUACUGCACAUAAAGUCAUAUAUGCGUUUAUAUAUGCAUGCAUGCACACACAGAUUUCAACACACAGCCUAUAUACGUUUCCUCCAUCUGUGCCAGCCUGGUUUUUAUCCUCCAACAGAGAUGUGAAUGUGGCUUUAUUUAUUUAUUUUUAAUUCUGUUCACUGAAUAUUGAGGUCAAUUAGGAAUGCUGUUUGCUUCCUGUACCAUGAGCAGAUUAGACAACCUAUGCCCUCAACACCCCCCUUCCCCACAGCAUUGCCGAUCUCUGCCGCACUGACCCACAUUCCGCUGAAAAUCUGUCCACUGUGUGCGUCAGAAUUGGACUUUUAAACCAUCUAUUCCCUUUUUAUCCUUUUAAAAUUGUAACCUCAUUUGCCACCAUUCUCACUUUACUUUAUUACACCAAAGCUUUAAAAACUUUUGCAAGCAUAGUGGAGUUAAUACUAUAAAUUCAUUUUCUGUCACUAUACAUAAAACAGGAGUGUAGCUUUAGUAGCAUUUUAGUCACAGGAACAUGAAGCUCAGCAAAGCAUUUCAAAACAUUUUUAUUUCCAUUAACAGUAACAUCUGCGCUCUGGAUGGACAUAUGAAUACUGUAAAGCACUCGUUCUAGAAUCUCAGUCCCUUAGUUAAAUCCCAAAUAAGGGACUAGACAGACUAAUGAUACUUUGAAGCUAGAAUGGAGUCAUGGUGGUCUUUAAAAUAGACAUCAAUCAUUAUAGACUGAAAGUCAUCACCAAUGUAUUCCACUAACUUUACCAGGGACAAUAGAAUUCGCCCAUCAUCUAAGGUUACCGUUGUGUAGAUGUACUUCUAUGGGACAUAUCAGAAAAAAAAAAGCCAAAAUAUCUGUAAAAAUGUAGCAGAGGGCUGAAAUAGAUAACUGGAAGCAAAGAUCUGCAUUCCCUCCAAUGUGCAAUAGCUCAGUACCCGUUCGUGUGAAUGUUAUGACUAUUGUUGCGACUUUCAGCAAAAUAUGGACUUUAAAUGAUGCAAGCAAAUAAAAUAAAAACAAUAUAUACACAUAUAUAUAAUUCAUGUUUUAGUUGACCAAAAGCAGAAACAAAACAAGUGUCAUGCUGUGCAGAAAAUCUGCCACGCCAGAGUGUUUUAAACCUAAUAAUACUUGGUUUUGCACAAAUAAACCAGUUUAUUUUGCAGCUGGUCCAUGAGGAUCAGAUUGUCUUUCACAUUUUAUAGACUUGUUUUGCUUUAUGUUCUGUUCUUGCUGCAAGUAAAGUGUGAUGGAUUUCACUCAACUCCUUUAUGGAAUAAAGGGUUAAAAACCUCAGAUCUCACUUCACUAAAUUAUGACCUUAUUCUAUUUUCAGCAUUGCCAUAUGUUCCAAAAGUGUGCUUUGUGUAAACCUGACCCUCUUCAAACUUGGUAACUCGCUCUUAUGAUUCCACUGCACAUUUUGUAAAAUUAAUUGUUAAAAAAAAAGCAAAAAAAAACAACCCAGUUUUUAUCCAAAACAUCUCACAGCAGUCAGACGGUCAGAGAUGCCCCAAAGCUCGAAUUCCAAAGCCUUCCCAAACCACCCCCUCUUAAAGCACAUUCACCCAGGAGGAAAUCAAACUUCCUGCCAUCUGCACACUUUAACUCGUUAAAUUCUAGGAGAUGGGGGGGUUGAAGGAACAUAUGGCAUCUGUGCAGUUUUAUGCACUGUUUGGAUGCCAUCCUGAUUAGAUGCCAAGUGCCCGGAUUUGCGUUAAACUAAACUCUUUGCUGCAUGCUUUAGUUUACUCGAACAGCUGCACUAAAAUUUAAUUUCUUGGUUGCUUUAAUAUACUAAAACGUGCAUUUCAGAUGUUCUGCAUCAGAGUAUUUUGGGAAAAAUGGGCUAGGGAGAUCAUAUCAGAUAGUCAGUGCACUUUUAAGUGAAUGGAAAUUGAUUUUUCCUUUAUUCACUUAUCCCUUUGGAUGUUCUGAAUUUCAAUGCCUGGUCUCUAGAAUAGGUUAGGAAAUAUUUGCCAUUCAAGAGGCUGCGGACUACAUCAUGCUCCACCAUGUCCUUCACUUUGUUGCUUAAUGGAGUAAAUAAAUGUAAUUUCAUUUUCCAAUCGAGAUAUAGAAAUUAGAAAUUAUUUGGGUAUGAGCAAACCCAUCUUAUGUUUGGAUUCUGAUAUUUGCAUUUAAAAGGGCCAAUGGUUUCUUUGUUGUGUGUGUUCUGCAGGGCAGGUGGGGACAGGCCAAACUGGGGGGCAUGGUAAAUGUUCCCAGUGACAGAACAGAAAUGAUACAACGUGACAGCUGGCAGUAAUCUACAGCAGCCGGGUGCUCCCUGGAGGGUGACUGAACUCAGAAAGGGGAGCACAGUCUACACUAGGAGGUUUGAUAAUUCUAAUCAAAACAGCUGACAGAAGGCAUCUGCCGUUGGGGCUGUGCCAUCAGGAGUUCCACAUCAAUGUUACAAGACUGCAAGCAGGAGGACACAGGGACAGAAGGAAGAAAUCAGGACAAGGUGAAAUAAGAUAUAGGAAAGGUGAUAAAAACACCAAUAAACAAUAUACAGCAAGUCUUGCCGAGAUAUUAACUAAACCAUGAUUUGACUAGGACAUUUUAAUUAGCUGAACAGCCAUGUCAAAAUAAAAUGCUAAAUUCUUCGGUCAAUUCUUCACAAUUCCUAGUUUAAAGAAAACCCAGAUGGUAAAGAAUUUGGCCGAAAUCAAUUUUAUACCAGAGAGAGAUUACAAAAGAAGAGGCAAUGGACUGUUAGCCUGUACGUGUACAGUGCUGUGUACACUGUACCGGAAGCCGUAGCAGAGCCACGCUUGGACAGCUACCAAAAGAGAUUUUAUUAUAGGGCAGGCAAUUACCCUACUUUACAAUUUGUGUCUGCAUGCUUCCAGUCGCUGAAUUAAAGUUAAACCAAGCAAGCAAUGGAGGAGGCUGUAUUAAUUCUGCUCAAUGCAUUUGCUAUGCAGUCAUAAAAUGAGGUCAGUGCUUGCAUGUAUUUCAGGCUUGGUAAACGCAAGUAUUGCCUUAAGAAUCCCUCAUCACCUUAAACGACACUGGCCUUGAGCCACUACAUACAGAGUUUUAUGAGUUUUCCAUUUCUCAAUGGUUUCCCAGUUGGCCGAGCUAAGAGAGAGGCUUGUUAGUUUACAUUAGGGGCAGUCAGAUGUAAUUAGGAAGAUUGGUCUCUAGGAUUGGCUGUGUUCUGGGCAAGCCCAAUGCAUUGUAAUUUCUACUUUGUAAGACUGUUAAUAGGCCAUUAGAGUUGUAAGGAGUUUAUGCAAGAGGAAGCCACUUAUAUGUCAUAAGUGUUUCUGUGCAUAGAACGUAUAUACCAUUAACCCAUACAAUCCCUCAAGUACAAUGUAAGGAUAAGCAAUUGGGAUUGAAGAGUGACAAGUUAUGACCUAUUUAUCAAACCAAAAUUAUCUAAGAAAAAAUAAACAUAAUAUCUAGAAUUUCAAAAGCUUGGAUUUUAUUUUUUUUGGGGGGGAGAGGUGGGUGUGAGUGAUAUAUACCCAGAAUCAUGAUGAAUAAUGAUCUACAAUUAUUUCUGCAUCUUUAGGAUUAAUCCAUAAUAAUUUAGAAAUUCCUUGCAGAUUGUAAAGUUUAGAGGACAUGGAUUUACGAUCUAAAUCUAUCAUUCAUUUUUUGUUGUAGUAUUCCUCCUAUCAUAGUAGAUAGAAACGGUAGAGCAUGCACAAGUGUAAUUUAUUUACACAUUACCAGGUAAUUGCUACAAAUUAUUACCUUAAAGUGACACUCCACUGCCCAAAUUGAACGAAGGAAAGGAAAAAAAAAAAAUCAAAGUCACUGUUUAGUAGAUAUAUCUCAAUAAAAACAUGCAUGCAUUUAAUUGUGCAUUUUUUCAUUGGAGGUUUAUUUAAAAACUGUUUGCAAAAGCUGCAGUUCUCUAGUCUGAAGCCUUUGCAAGCCAUCACCUUCUUCCCCAGCUCAGACUUUAUGUGGCUGUCCAAUCACAGACUUCCGAAUGCAGGCAAAUGAGAAUUCUUUGCAAGGCAGGUGCUCUGAAAAAAGCCUGCCUCUUGAGUUUAACUCCAGUGAGCUAAACAACCAGGAAGUAAAAAGACUGGUUGUCUGAAUGCCAGCCGGAGUUGGGUGGACAAGUUUAAUUUAUAAAAGUGGCAAUUACUAUUUAACCCCUUAAGGACACAUGACAUGUGUGACAUGUCAUGAUUCCCUUUUAUUCCAGAAGCUUGGUCCUUAAGGGGUUAAAGGAUCACUAUAGGGUCAGGAACACAAACGUAUUCCUGACCCUAUAGUGUUAAAACCACCAUCUAGCCACCCUGGGCCCCUCAUGCCUCCAUAAAUAUAGCAAAAUCUUACUGUAUUCAAGCCUGAAGCUGUAGUUUUGUAUGCUGUUUGCCUUAGAAAAACAAGCAGUCUGCUGACAUCAGAAGUGGUAGCCUGAUCCAAUCACAAUGCUUUCCCAUAGGAUUGACUGAGACUGACAAAGAAGCAGAUCAGGGGCAGAGCCAGCAUGAUUCAAACACAGCCCUGGUCAAUCAGCAUCUCCUCAUAGAGAUGAAUUGAAUCAAUGAAUCUCUAUGAGGAAAGUUCAGUGUCUGCAUGCAGAGGGUGGAGACACUGAAUGUUUGGAUGCAUUUUAGGCAGCCAUGACCCAGAAAGGAUCUCUAACAGCCAUCUGAGGAGUGGCCAGUGAAGUUAUCACUUGGCUGUAAUGUAAACACUGCAUUUUCUCUGAAAAGACAGGGUUUACAGCAAAAAGCCUGAAGGUAAUGAUUCUACUCACCAGAACAAAUUCAAUACGCUGUAGUUGUUCUGGUGACUAUAGUGUCCCUUUAAAUUUCUUCUUUUUUUAUUUUACAAAUGGUGCAGGACACACUUCACACAGAAAGCACACUCUUCACUUUGGAGUCUACCUUUAAGCUUUUUGAGGAAUGUCUGAAUAUCCAGUCCUUGUUUUGUGUGUUUUUUUGUGUAUAUUCCUGUUUUAAUAAUUCUAUAAUAAUAUAUUCACCAACCAGAGCUCAUUACUACAAUAACAGGAUCCACCUAAACACCUGUAAGACAAUGUGAUACAGGAUGUAAAAGGUGUUUGGCCCUGACAUUUGACUCACCUUGUGUGUGUGUAAAAUGUAAACAUUCAAUAAAUUGUGCUAUUGAAGAAAUAAAAAAAAAUAAAAGCAUAUCAUCAGCUCUGUCACAAUCUGAAUUAACCAACCAAUAGAGGCUUUGAAUGUCCCUCUAUUGUAAGAGAUUUAUUUUUUCACCUUAGCCUGGGUCAAAGCUCUGCUAUUAAUAUAUUCCCUUGGCAGUACGAGUGCCCUCUCUGCUUUCCAGGUUUUAUAAUUCCAGGUCACAUUACCUGGCACCCGCUUGCAGUUUUGUACUCUGGGACCAGACGCUUAUCUGUAACUAUACACAAGGAGUUUUGUUUCAGGGGAAGUCAGGGCCCAGACUGCUGGCAGUGGUCCAGCAUGCACUGGAGAGGUGUGCCAGACACACGAGGAGGGAAAUCACUGGCAAGCAGGAAAGUCCCAUCCAAACACCAUUCAGAGUGUUUUGCAUUGUCUAAAAAUAAAGAUGCUGACCUCUGUAAUGACAAGAGAAGAAGAAAAUAUUUAUAAAGCCAAGUGCAUGUGCUUUGCCCAGUGAUUUCAAGUGUCUCUUAAUCUUGUAUUAGGCACCAACUGAUGCUAAAAGAGUUUUAAUAGAGUCAGGCAGCAGACAAAUGCAAUCGUUUCACAUUGACAGCAUUUAUUUAAUUUAUUUGCAUUGUGUAACAUGACAUACAAUUGUCAAAAGCAGUACUUUUAAUGCACAUCACGAAAGACAGGUUUGUUUGUUUUUCUCAAUAUGAGAAAAAGUUUAAAUAGAGUGAAAUGCAAAUAAGGCGUUAAUGUACAUAUGAUGAUGCACUGCUGUAGUGCAAUGAAGGCAUUGUAAAACACAUGUAUGAAUAUUGAAGAGUACACGUUUGGUGCACCAAGGCUCCAGCUCAAGUGCAAAUACCUUGCAAAGUUACUAUUUUGGGGCAAACUGCACUCCUCUUUGUGAUGGCCAUAAUGUAACCUUCUUCAGGAGUAGACAACUUUCACCAGUCUUGAUGUUGUGGACUAUAUCACCAAUAACGCUCUUAAUGGCAUGAUUCUGUUUAAGCAUUAGGGGAGAUGUAGUCCACAACAAACUUGACUACCUCUUCUUAAAGCAAAUCUGUUCUCUUGCGUAUGCAAGAGUACAACACUGAGGUCUAUGGAGGAUCCCACAAUUCCAAUAGACAGAGCCUGAAUCCCACAGCCAUCAUUUAUGACGGCUCCUGGGAUUGAACAAAAGUUGACGGCGGAGCUCCACCUUUUGUCAACUUCAGGAUUUACCAUAAGAUAAAGUAGUCCCUACUUUGUGUUAUGGUGUCUUUAGAUUGUGUUAGAAUUUCAAUGAAAUUCUUAUGCAGUUUUGAUCAGUAUUUCAGUAUUAGUGUGUCCCAGGAAAUGUUUUUUUUACUAAUCCAUUUUGGGCAAGAAUUUAUUUUUAAUAACUACAUUUCUGUUUCUCAAAAGGAGAAUUUCUGAAUUUUGUGUAAAACUAUAACGAACUGUGGCUUAGCUAGAUAUCAAGUCAUUUCUUGAGGGGUGAAUAUAUUUGUUUAAAACACGGAUCUCCCCCGCGUGGCCUUAUUGUGGAGCGAGCUGGACACAUCUGAGUAGAGCUCCGCUCCAAACACGCUGCCAAAAGCCUAAAUAAGCUUUUUUCAUUUGGCUACUCAAUUAAUUAUGGAAAAGAGAAACCCCAAAAAACACACUAAGAAGGGUCCAGAGUCUGGGACUUAGGUUUUAGACCUACUUGCCGCCCAAAAGAUCCGGCCAUCGGAAGGCCAGGAUGGCGCUGGAGCAGGCCCGGCUUCCCAGCUGCCCUCGCCACAUGCCGCCUGCAUCGUGGAGGCCUCACCAAGUGACACCUCGCAGAUACUCACAAGUCCAGACCUACCUUGCAGGAGAAAUUGUGAAAUCAACGAAGGUCCUUGGUGCGAGAACUGCGUGGCUGGAAGAACACCUUGAGAGUGCCACCACCACAUAAUGAUGAAGUCGCCCACAUCAAUAGGCUUAACGCCCGCAUGGCCAAGACGGAAUUGGCGAUGGAAGAAAUUUCACAGGUUAGAAAGACUACUGACAGAACUUAGAACAAGAACAUCAACUUCGCCCUGAGGAAGGGACUUUACGACAACUAGAGGCAGUGCGUUACUCCAUAAGAGUACUGCUCCUCGACGAUACCGCUAAGUCCAUCACUUGGUCCAAAUUGACCUUUUUUACGAGAAAGCAAAUAAAAUGGACACCCUUCUUGCUAGGACCCUUAAGCCUAGACAGAGAUGCUCUCAUAUCCCAUCCAUACAACACUCCGACGUCCCUAUUAAAAAUACACCAUCUGACAUUGCGGAGGUCUUCACUAACUUUUAUAGAUCACUUUAUAACCACUCCCCGGACUCCAAAAUUCAGAGGGAUCAGGAAGAGAACUUAACAUGCAGAUUUUUGAUAGACCCAGGGCUGCCCAAACUGCCACAAGAGGCGAUAGCCAAACUAGCUUCAGAAAUGACAUCCGAGGAAGCUGAUCAGGCCAUUUCUGGACUGAAAGGAAAUAAGGCUCCUGGACGGAUGGGUACGAUGGGAGUUAUAAGAUUUUCUGUGAGGAACUCAUACCCUAUUUAGUAAAGCUGUUCAACGGAUUCAGGGAAGGGGGCACACCGGACCAUGAUAUGUCCUUGGCUACCAUAGUGCUACUACCGAAGCCGGACAAAGACCUAUUACUCCGGAGAACUACAGACCCAUUUCACUCAUAAACCAUGAUAUGAAGAUCCUUGCAAAGAUUCAAGCAGAUAGACUUAAUCCUUUCUUAACAGCUCUGAUAGAUACCGAUCAAGUAGGCUUUAUACCAGGCAAACAGUUGUUUGAAAAUACAUGUAGAAACAUCGACUACAUACACACACACACACACACAUAUAUAUAUAUAUAUAGAGAGAGAGAGAGAGAGAGAGAGAGAGAGAGAGAGAAUACAACUCCUGUAAAACUAUAAAGAAUUAAAAAAUUCCCCACGGAUGUGUGUUAGAGGGGCUGUGGGAUGAGAGGGACGUACAUUCAUAUGUGGUGGGAGUGUCCAUUGAUGAUAUGAUUCUGCAAUUUAAUUAAAGAUUUGGUAACCCAAGUGUUCUCAAGAGCCCCAGACCUCGACCCUUGAAUAUAUCUGUUAAAUAGAUCUACCGAAGGGUGGACAAGGAACAAACAAAAACGUAUUCAUAAAAUAACCCUGGCUGCAUGAAGGGCUUUUGCCUAGCUAAAACAGGGUAUCCCCAACAUUUCAGGGGUGAUAAACAGUGUCAAAGAGAUAAACCAUGGGAUUCUGAUGGGAUCCAUGGGAAAACAGUCCUUUUGAAAAUUAAUGAUGACAAAUGGUGUGAACUGUUACAAGUGAAGGGAGGGGUCUGCUGUUUCCCGACCUCUUCCGCCCCCUCUUCCCCCCAUACAUAUGGCUUACAUACAAAGUUAGACUUUGCCCCCACCCUACCCUUCUAACUCUAUAUAUUCUUAAUUUCUCUCUAUUCUCUUUACUUCUCUUUCUCUCCCCUAUAUCUUGGGGAUAAUCAUCACCGUAAACUGUGACUGACAACUUGCAAACUUUAGAGAUAAUGGUUGGUGCGAUGCACCCUAAUGGUACUCCAUGUGUUAUAUCAUCGGUCACUUCCUUACUAUUAUGUCAAUUGGAUAAUUUCUAUAAAUGUAAGAUGCUAUACCAUUCCUGGCGUUGUCUAUUGCAUGUCAUUCAUACUUAAAGAAUUCAACCAAAAAAGUGCAGUAAUACCAAGGCAUUUCAUGUUACAUCUGUAUUAUUGUACUGUUAUAUAUGGUCUUGUGAAAUGUCUACAUUACAUUGUAUGUUGUACUAUGCACUAAAAAAAAAAAAAGAAUAUUAGAAAAAAUAAGGAAUAAAAAAAAAAAGACAGAUCUCCCAUAUAAUUUAUAUAAGCAAUUAUCAGCACUUGAGGUACAACAUGCAAGCAUCUGAAGAAUAACAGACCAAAAUACGUAGCUGCAAAAUAACCAGGUGGAUUUUGCAGAUAAAUACAUUUAAAAAACAAACUAUAAUAUAAUAAUUUAUAAUAAUCAUUAUAAUCUUCCUCCAACUGCAAUCUCAAAAGACUUAUUUUCUCUGCUAAAAAUAACAUACCUGUCAUUCUGAUCUGUUUAUUUUCUAGGAGUCUGAUGGUGUGAAUGAAUACAUUAGAUGCCCAUCUCUACCCAGAGUUUCAGACGGAAUCCGUUUUUUUUUUUUUUUUUUUAAACAUUGCACCAAACAAAAGGAUCAUAUUUUCACUAAUGUGUCAUGGCAAUUCUAGAUACAUAUUGUACAAACAAAAAACAUCCCCUUGGCAAACAUAGGGCCUGUGAUUCAUAGCACUGCAGGCUUCUUGGAUGCUGAAAGGGUUAACACUUUCCUAUCCUUAGUUUUUCAUAAACUCUCCAGUGACCUAAUCGAGCUGCUGGGAAUGUGCCCAUCUCAGCAAAUUUUCCGCUCUCCUGACAGGGUGUGGAUCAAGUUUUAUUCAUGCCAGCCCCUGAUGGUUUCAGAGAACAUUCAACGCUGUCGGUGAGUUUGAGAAAGUGUAAAAAUGUAAACCAUCGGCCGUUGACUGUACCCUGAGGCUCUUCACAGCACGAAAAAGGGGAGAUAAAAUUAUCUUUAAGUCAUGCUUAAAUUUUACUACACCAAUGAAAACAGUCCUAACGAGAAAAAAGGUAAGUCUUCUUGGUAAUGAGAUAUCUGUUUGGGGAAAUUACUUCGUAUUAAUUGACACUUUGUUUUCUGAAGAAUUAUGGCUUUAGAAUGGGUCAGUAUGUAUAGCGAAGAGGAAGAACACACUGCGCUAACUAGAAUGUAGGAUGACUCAUUUUAUCAAAUGUAGAAUUGUAUCCUAGUGGAAGAAACAUUAUGAAUUUUGCUUUCUGGAAAGUUUACGUUAUGUCAGGAGGCAGUAUGAUGUCACAUCCUAUCUACAUUUAAGAAUCAAAUAGGGGUAUUUACAAUAAAUUUACACAAAAAGUAAGAAGGGCUGUGCAUUUUAGGCCUAACUAAUAGAAUUCAAAAAUGACCCCAGCUCAGUUAUUUCGGCCCCUUGUCAGUUCUCCACAAUUUAGUGUAUAAUCUUAAAAGACUUCUGGUAUUAACAAACACAACAUGCCUUGGAAUUGCCAAAUCGCUAAUACAAAUAUCAGGAUGGCUACAUCAUAUAAACCGUAUCAUUACAUUUUAAAUUCACAUUUUUCUAACUGAAUUUCAGAGGUUGCAAUGUUGGAGCUUUAGAAAAAACACACAUCGAUACAUGAAUUUGCUGAUGGAAGCACUAGACUGCAUGUCAAUCUCUGGUAAUUACCAUGUGGUUUUAAGCAAGCUGAUUACAAAUCAUGCACUAUGGUAGAUCAGGGCCAUCUCUAAGGUUUUCAGGUCUGCUCAAUCGACAAACAAGAUUAGCAGGUUUAGGAUUUGUUGCUGGGAGAGAAUCAGCAAUGUCUCUCAAUUCUGUCUCCUAUUACAAGCAUAUUCCAAGACCAACAUAAUUAGGCAGUCCAUAGCAUCCUGCAAUAAUUAAGAAAAGGUAGAACAAGGAGCUCCAUUCAUACUACAUCCACGUGCUAGGAGAAGAAUAACAGAAAGUGGCUUCUACUGAGAACGCCUGCUGCCUGAAGCUGUACUCGUAGUAGCAUUACAUUAUGAAAGAGUUAAAUGGUAGCUUUAAGUGCCAAUGUGGAACACAUUUAAGGACAUUUUCAUAAUUGGCAACAUUUGAAAAAAAAUUCCAGGAACACUUUGUGGCAACAAUGUACAUUAAUAUACACCGAAUAACACUCAAAGAGAUACACGCUCAGUGAUACACCAACACACACACACUGAAUUAUGACACAAACACACAUAGAAAUAAAGAACGGCAGUACAUUUUUAUCCAACGUCCUGUGGGACCUGAGGCAGCUGUGGUGGCUUGCGCCAUCGUAGUCCGUUUCCUUUUUAUUCCCUCUGAAAGUUGGGAAAAGUCCCGGGACACUUUUUUUUGCUGACACAGGAGCCCGAAACAUGAGACUGUCAAGUUUUAGUCAGUUCAAUUAAGGCUAGAUGAUAAUACUUACAUCACCUUUAAGCUUUUCUGAUACAAACUGUAGAUCAGCAAAUGCUCUAAAUUGGAUUCCCAGAAACCUUUUUUGGGAUUUCUUUUCCAUGAAACAUGCUACAACACUAUGUGUAUUAUACGACGAAAGAUCAAACCCAUUCAGACUAAUUACAUUUAAAAUGGAACCUGAUUACUUUAGGUCCAAAUGGAUAAACUAAAUGUUUAUUUGUUGUCACCACUUGUGCGAGAAAUUAAAAAAGCACUGCAUCUAAUGUUACCUACACUUCCAACUAAAGUGGUAAGGCUUACUUCUUAUAAAACUUGUAAUAAAGCAAAAAUUUAUAAAUUUAACUUGUAAUAAGUUUACCAUUUCACAGAAAAUUUGUGGUGCAUGAAAAUAAGCGUCAGUCAGCCAUAAAUGUAUAUAUAUAUAUAUAUUUAUUUGAAGCCUCAUCCUAAAUUAACUACAACAGUGAUUGUUGAACUUGUGAUACUUUAGCUAUUACAGACUACAUCUCCUGUAAUGCUCAGCCAGCCUAGUAAAGGUUAAAGGGAAACUAGAGUCACCAACAUAGCUUUUGCUUAAUGAAGCAGUUUUAGUAGAUAUAUCAUGCCCCUGCAGUCUCACUGCUCAAUUAUCUGCCAUUUAGGAGUUAAAUAACUUUGUUUAUGCAGCCCUAGUCACACCCCCUACCUGCAUGCCACUUGCAUAACCUUCCUAAACGCUUCCUGUCAAGUGAGAUCUAAUGUUUAAAUUUCCCUUUAAUGUACAGUCUGGUUAAUUUAGUAUUUCUUGCCCUGUUAAUAGCUUGCUAUCAUGGUUUGUGAUCAAAGUUAAAUUUACAGAGCAGGAGAUAAAAACUUCUGAAGUUAACAUCUAAUUGAAAAUGUGACUUUUUUUUUUUAAAGCAUGCUUUGUAAGUCACAUCCAGGGAGGUGUGGCUAGGGCUGCAUUGAUAGAAACAAAAAAGGUUUAACUCCUGAAUGGCAGAUAACUGAGCAGUUAGAAUUGAGACGAUUUGGUGUAUAGAUCAGAGGCAGGAUCUAAACACCAAAACUGCUUCAUUCAGCUAAAGAUUUUUUUGAUGACUAUAGCGUCCCUUUAUUUGUGGAACUAGAGUAUUUACGGCAUGAAGUGCAGGCCCUCAAUUGCCAUUUAUUUGUGUAAAAAAAUAACUUGUUUUUUGCAUGAUUUAAGCUUUAAGGUAAGCUUUUUUUCACCAUUUCAUUUUCAUUUGGAAGGCACCUCUUUAUUUUGUUUUUUAAAAAUACCUUUCCAGUUGGUAUGGUCUCCCUUCUAUGAGUGAAAUAAUUGACAUCAUGUGGUCCUAUUCGAUUUCUCUUAUAGAAUAACAAACAUACAAAUACAAAGUUGCAGGUAGUGGUUUUGAAACAACGCUAACCUAACACAGAUGGCUGUGGAUCAUUACACAGUAUACUUAUAACCCUCUUGCUGUUGGAUCUGGAUGUCAUAUGGUGCUACAACCUACACUCCAGGAAUAAUGGCUGCAAUCAACAUUCAUUGCUGUCGGUGGGUUUUAGAUUAGAAUAGCUCAUUGAUCAAUGAAUGCAAACUGCAGCCCUCUCUUCACACAUAGAAAAAAAACAAAAAACCUCAAGACAAACUUUACUUGGUACUGUGUAUAGGAAAUCUCCAGCAGAUGAGCAACCGAAAAGUCAUGUACAGUGUGACUCGGAAGGAAAGAAGCAAAAAUACAUUUGAAUUCAGAAAAGUUGUAAAAUACAGCCAAUGGUGAUUAAAAAGCUCCACCUCUCAGCUUGGACAUUACCCCAUCUCAAGUUCUUGCAACUCUUAACAACUUUGUGAUUGAAAAAGGAGUUAAAGGAACAUCUCAGGCACCAUAACCACUAAAGUGCCAAGAGUGCCCCUGUCCAAAUGUAAGUAGUAAAACUGUUUGCCAACAGUUUGACUUUGUACCCGCAGUCUGCUGAGCAACACUCUCUGCUCCUUCCUUUCUGUUGCUAAGAGCCAAACAUGACAUGAGAGGGUCCAGUUCUCCCUGAGGCUUUGAGAAGCGAGUGCCUGGCAGAACCCAGGUAAGAAGUCAAAACGUUCGCAAACAGCUUGAUAGCUUAGCUUGGGGUGUGGUGCUUGGGCACUUUUGGCACCAUAACCACUACAGUGGUUUUUGUACUUUAAGUGUUCCUUUAAUGGAGAACUGUAAUUUCUCUUGAAUUUAUUCUUCCAUUAAACACUGAAAAUCACCUGUAAUUAAUGCUAACCUUUUUCAUUGAUGUUCUGUUUUCGUUAAAAAAUUGUAUAUUAAAUUAUAUUAAUGAAUAAUCAAAUUACGUUAUAAUCCCUUGCAGUAAAGACACAGCCAUAUCACACACUGCAACAAGAUUCUGUAUGCCUUCUGUACGAUGACUUCCCAGUGCAAAGGUCAGAGCUUUUAACAGUGAUUGGCAGAGAGCUAGGAUGGUGUUGCAGGAUAAAAAAAAGUGUUGAUUUCUCUAUUUAACAAAAAAUUUUAAAACUUAAAAUUACAUAUUUAAUAGUUAGAAAUAGGGUAUAAGUACGUGUGAUAUUAUAAUUUCUGGGAAAUGACAGUUUACCUUUAAGAAAAGUUAAGAGUGCUACAUGCUUGAUUUAAGAUGUUUUCUAGAGUAAGCUGUUUUUUGUUAACUGUAUUGUCUAUUUAUAAUGAAAAUAUCAUGUCAUGUAUCCAGAAAACUCUGAGAAAUAAAAAGUAUGUGACCUGUGUCUUACUAAAUGAAAAUACAAAGCCGCUUACAGUUAUUAAGGGUGUUUGAAAUUAAAACAUUUCCAAAUCAUGUCUUUUUUUUUCUCCCUUUAAAUGUAUUUUAUUGUGAUCACGGCUUGCUCAUUUGAUUACCAUUUGCUACAUCAGAUCAUCGUAGAUUGUAAACUUGUACGAGCAUGGCCUUCUUUACCACUAGCUAGCCCUUUUUUUGGUCACUCAAUAAACCCAUUAAUUUUGUUAUAGUAGCAGUGAUAUUUAACUUUAACUGUGCUCUUUAGUGGCCCUACUCUCUACCUGGCCAGGAUCGCUGCUUUUGUUAGGACAAAAUGUUAAUUUUUCCGACACUUAUUUUUAUGUAAAACAUAACUAAACAUAUAAAUAAGUGUUUAUUCACAAGUAUAUAUUAUCUAAGCAACAUAUUUUGAACAGCAUACCUACCAGAACAAAAUAUACGUCCUGACAAUGGGAGGUAUGGUUUUGUGAAAGGGAUCUGCAGGUCAACCCAUAAAGUGAGCUGACUUCCUGACAAGGAGGCGUAUCAUACUGGCACGCAGGCAAGCCACUCUGGCCAUGUUCAGAUUUACAUACCAGGUAACUGUAGGCACAAAAUUAUAAGGCACCCUCGGCACCCCAGUCCAAACAGGGGCAGAUAAAGCAAGUAUAAUUAACUGAAAACCAUAUAUUCAUAUUUGACAAAUGCAUAUGUGUAAAUGUAUGCAACGUGCAUAUGUCUGCUUGUAAUGUAUUGAGUUUGAGUCUGUGAGUAUAGCGAGUGUAUGCAGCUGUGUAAAUGUAACGUUAAAAGUGGUUAGGGUACAGGGGGUUUAAGGUUGUAGAAGAGUGAAAGGGAAACUAUAGUGCUUGUAAAACAAACUUGUUUUCCUGGCACUAUAGCUCCCCCCUCCCUCUCGUUCCCCCAGCCCCUCUUCUGUCAUGUUCCUCAGCGCUGGCUUGGGUUCGCCUUCGCUCAUCGGCAAUGACUACACUUGUAUUAGGAUUUCCCUGUAGGAAAGCAUUAUACAAUGCUUUCAUAUGGGGAUUCAGGUGACGCUGGAAAUACUAAUGCAUAGCGCCCAGAAGCCCCUCUAGAGGUGGAGAUGACCCUGAAAGGUAAUUAUUGCAGUUUCUUAAAAUUACAAUAAUUACCUUUGCAGGGUUAAGGGACCCAGGACACUGCAUCCAGAUCACUUCAAUAUGCAAAAGUAGUAUGGGUGCCCAAAGUGUCCCUUUAAGGUGACUUAGAUAACACAGGAUGUAAAGUAUUAAGAAGAUUAAACGCUUGAGCGCUGUUAAAGUUGUGGUAUAGGGGCUUUUAAGGAUUAUUGGUUUUAAGGUUAGAGUAGUGUUACAUUUAGUAUUUGGGUAAAGGGGGGUGGUUUAGGAUAGUAUAGUGUUAGAGUGGGGUCUAAUAUUAGGUUACACGAGAUGUUUUGUUUUAGAAACAGUUAAGCUAAAGUUUUUUUUUCAGGUUUAGGCACGGAGUGCUGAAAUUUGGGACUGAGGAUUGAGUUUCUUUACAUUUUGGAAGGGGUUAAAUGCAGGGUUAGGGAAAAGGGAUGUUUAGGGCAUAUGGAGUUUGAAAGGUUAUUUACAAAGUACUCAACUCCUAUAUCUUCUGUAGACCAGUUAGUCUCCUAAAAUUGAUAAAAGAGCUACAGUAGUUAUGCAGAGUACACUACUUAUUGCUUCCCCUCCGCCUUCUGUAAUGCACUUCCUGUGUCAGAGGUUACUAGUGUGCUGAUGGGAAAUGACCCCUUCCUUUUCCUUUCUAGCCCAAACACACAGACACUAAAGGGGACAGCACUACAUUUUACACCCUCUAAAACUAUUCCUGCAGCUCUGCUAUUAAGGCUGGCUGGACUUCUCUCUCACCACCAUCCCAUUUAAGUUCAAAUGGCACAUAGGUAGUGAAAACAGGCACCUGUAGGCAGGUGGCUUCUCUGCCAAAUGGGAAAUCAUCCCCUGGGCCAGCCCAUAGUAAGGCAUAUUAUGUGUCAAUCACUGCUGAGCUGUUUUGGGAAUAGAUUUACUCUGAGAUUACUCUGCACAGUACGAGUGUGUUUAUUAAUGGGCUUGUAUUGUGUUCCCUUAUGUCCCCAAAUUCAGGAUAUCAGGGAACAAACCCCAGGGGGCAGGACUGUUGGGAGACACAUUAAUGAUGACACAUUAAGACAUGAGAGCACAAAGUCACUAGGGCCCUGCUUAUAUGAGCUUCCAGUGACAAAAUAUUUACUGCAGAUUUUAAAAGGCACAUAACUAAUACAGAUUUAUAUACAGUUUAUAUUGCCUAGAGUCCCCUCCCCUAGUUUGAUAUAAACUAAGACUCGUAUAGGCACACAGGGAUGCAUUAUUUUACCAUUUGGUCACAUUGAUAAUAGGAAAUUAUCCAUCAAUGUCAAUGUCAAUUUUGUCCAACCUGAAUGACUCCGAUUGGCUGAGAGAACUAGGGCAAACAUGCCUCUAGCCCUCCUAGCCAAUAAAAGUCAACUUAGUUGUGGAAAUAGCCUGUUUUUAAAUCUUUCAGGAAGAUUUCAUUGCAGCAUUCAUACCAAAGGAUUAGAGAAGGCCAGAUGUGGUGCCUAUAUUUAUAAAGGAUUACAAAUUUUAACCUGGAAAUUACAUCCCUGUAAAUUUUUAAAAUCUGUGGCUGGGAAAUUAUUUAAAUGGUUGUUGAUGACCUCAAUUUAAAGGGUUACUUCUACCCUUAAACACCUUUCAGAUUACAAUGGCCUAUAGGGCAUAUAUAGGCAACGCUAACCUACUGUUCUAGAGUGAUAAGUUGCCUACCCACAAUUUGAUGUGACACUACUUACUAUCUGCUGUUUUGUUUUAUUAGUUAUUAUAAUUUCUGUCAACUCUCCCUAUUUAAAUUUGAGCAUUGCAGCAGUAUUGAG